CUAGUACCUCAUAGGUUCUUCUGCGGAUCUUCUGAUGACACGACAAACACUAGCGUUACCUGCAGCCCUUGGAUUCCUCUCUUCCAGAAUCCUCAUUAUUAAUUCCAUUCUGAUGAAUGACAGCACACCCAGACAUGCUUCAGCUCAGAUUGUAUAAAAAGAGAAAAAGGUGCUCUACUGAGGAUUUAGAAAUCCAAAAAGAAACAUCUUACCCCAGGACCCUUCACAAGAUCACUAUCCCAGAAAACUGGUUGGUUCAUGAGUUGGACAUCAUAAGAGGUCAAGGAUCACAGCAGGCAGGCCUACUUCUACCUACUACCUGCUCAACCCCACUUUAUCUCGGCAGAGGAGGAGACUUGGAUUACGAGGCAGAGGAUGGUGUGCACGGAGGGUAGAGUGGAGACAGGCGUCUCUUGAGUUGGAUGUGACCUGAUGCGACGUGCACUUGCGUCUGCCUCCAUGGAAGAUAAUUUUUUCCACAUCAAGAGCGGUCAAUGUUAACCUUAUUGUUUUGUUUUUCUUCUUUUGUCAGUGGGUUUUGAGAUUAUUUUUGUAAUGACAAGCACUAUAAAAAAAAAUCUAGAUCAUUA